CGUAAUGGAUUGGGUAGGGGAGCGUUGUAUACGCGGAGAAACAGUAGCGUGAGCGGCUGUGGAGUGUAUAGAAGUGAGAAUGCCGGAAUGAGUAGCGCGAAUGAAGUGAGAAUCUGCAUGGCCGAAAGCCUCAGGUUUUUGGAGGAAGGUUCGUCCGCUCCAAGUUAGUCGGGAGCUAAGGUGAGGCCGGAAGGCGUAGCCGAUGCACAGACGGUAGAGAUUCCGUCACCACCAAAAGAGUUAAGCACAGGGACACAUUUGAAGUCUCAGAGCCGGGUGUUGGUUCCGGUAGAGAUCGAGGGAAAUUAGUACCGAAGUCUGGGAUGGAAGAUGGCGAGAAAAGCUGUGUGUAUUUCUGAGGUGCCCGUACCGCAAACCGACGCAGGUAGGUAGGAAGAAGAUUCUAAGGCCAACGGGAGAAGGGUUGUUAAGGAACUCGGCAAAUUGACCCCGUAACUUCGGGAGAAGGGGUGCUCCAGAGAUGGAGCCGCAGAGAAUCGGCCCAAGCAACUGUUUACCAAAAACACAGGUUUGUGCUAAAUCGAAAGAUGACGUAUACGAGCUGACGCCUGCCCGGUGCUGGAAGGUUAAGAGGAGAUGUGCAAGCAUUGAAUCGAAGCCCCAGUGAACGGCGGCCGUAACAAUAACGGUCCUAAGGUAGCGAAAUUCCUUGUCAGGUAAGUUCUGACCCGCAUGAAAGGCGUAAUGAUUUGGGCACUGUCUCAACAGCCCGCCCGGCGAAAUUGUAGUACCGGUGAAGAUGCCGGUUACCCGCGACAAGACGGAAAGACCCCAUGGAGCUUUACUGUAGCCUAAUAUUGGGUUUCGAUGUUGCAUGCACAGGAUAGAUGGGACACAGGGAAACAAUCGCUUUGGCGGUUGCGGAGUGGCCGUUGGGAUACCAUCCUUGCGAUAUUGGAAUUCUAACCUGCGGCUCUGAAUCGAGUCGGGGGACAUUGUUAGGUGGGCAGUUUGACUGGGGCGGUCGCCUCCUAAAAAGUAACGGAGGCGUUCAAAGGUUCGCUCAGCUUGAACGGAAAUCAAGCAAAAGAGUGCAAACGCAGAAGCGAGCCUAACUGCGAGACUGACGGGUCGAGCAGUAACGAAAGUUGGAGUUAGUGAUCCGGUGGUAUGUGAGUGGAAAUGCCAUCGCUCAACGGAUAAAAGUUACCCUGGGGAUAACAGGCUGAUCUCCCCCAAGAGUCCACAUCGACGGGGAGGUUUGGCACCUCGAUGUCGGCUCAUCGCAUCCUGGGGCUGUAUUCGGUCCCAAGGGUUUGGCUGUUCGCCAAUUAAAGCGGUACGCGAGCUGGGUUCAGAACGUCGUGAGACAGUUCGGUCCCUAUCUGUCGUGGGCGCAGGAUAUUUGAUGGGAGCUGUCCCUAGUACGAGAGGACCGGGACGGACGUACCUCUGGCGCACCAGUUGUUCCGCCAGGAGCAUAGCUGGGCAACUACGUACGGAUCGGAUAAACGCUGAAAGCAUCUAAGCGUGAAGCCGACCCAAAGAUAAGAUGUCCCAUUGUUUUAAACAAGUAAGACCCCUUGAAGACUACAAGGUUGAUAGGCACGAUGUGUAAGUGGAGCGAUCCAUUCAGCAAGCGUGUACUAAUAGGUCGAGGGCUUGGC
rnacentral:rRNA from 1 species